CAUUUUUCAGGAUUUUAGCUUGAAAAAUGGGAAAACAAAUAAACCAGUAUCUUUAGAGGUUGUCAGUAUCCAUAUCUUAAACAAAAGGUUAAAUGCGGUUAUGAGUGUCAUCAAGCACGUUUCCGUAAUGAAUUAAAAUUCAACAAAAUACAGCGUGAUAAAACAACGAUACAAAUCUUGAUUUUACAAGUUAUCGUUUGUUCUUUGUGAUUAUGUUUAUCAUUAUCAUCAUUUACUUUUAUUAAUAUGAUGACUAGCUUUCCUACCCAAAAGCAUGUUAUUGUAUUAGUAAUUUGGUUACCCGAAAAAGUAUAAAAACUUUUUCACUGGCUACCCUCUUUUGGUUACUUCCUAUGGUUGUAAAUAUUUGGAACAUCUUUACUUUCCUUCUUCAUCGUUUUAGGAAAGACGACAUUGUUCUUUAUAUUUCGCAUUACUGCAUGGUCGGUGAAUCAUUUAUUUGACCAAUGAUUCAAGUCUUGUAAUCCCCCAGUUCAUUAAGAGGAUUUCAGUUUCUUCUUUUAAUAAGUUUAGUGUCGUCAUUGAAGAUUAGGUCAAAACAAUGGCAAUAUCUGGCCCCAUUUGUUUAAAAUUAUAUUUUCUAUCUUGUUUUCAAUUUUCAAUAUUCGGAAAAGCUUCAUUUUUUGAGAUAACUUAAGAGAGAUUUUUACAUUGCUAUGUACAUUUAAUUAUGCCCACAUAGAUUGGAUACCCAAUAAAAUUUGUGAAAUUUUCAAAUAAGCA
rnacentral:lncRNA from 1 species